rnacentral:lncRNA from 1 species
GAGAUCCUAUAAUGCCCCUGUCUGUGGAUAUUACCAACUCCUAUGAGUACCCUGGGUAACACAGGACUUCAUGGGCCCAGAAGUUAAUCCUCUGUGAACAAGUGAUCUCCUAGACCUAUGCAAGAAGGUAAGACAUCAGU